rnacentral:rRNA from 1 species
GAUUAACGCUGGCGGCGUGCAUGAGACAUGCAAGUCGAACGGACGAUCGGGCUUGCUCGAUCGUUAGUGGCGGACGGCUGAGUAACGCGUGGGUGACCUGCCCCGAAGUGGGGAAUAACUGCCCGAAAGGGUGGCUAAUACCGCAUGUGGUGACUGGUUCGUUCCAGUUUCCAAAGCCGCAAGGCGCUUCGGGAGGGGCCUGCGUCCGAUUAGCUCGUUGGUGGGGUAACGGCUCACCAAGGCGACGAUCGGUAGGUGGUCUGAGAGGACGAUCACCCAGACUGGGACUGAGACACGGCCCAGACUCCUACGGGAGGCAGCAGUCGGGAAUUUUGCUCAAUGGGCGAAAGCCUGAAGCAGCAACGCCGCGUGAGGGAUGACGGCCUUCGGGUUGUAAACCUCUUUUCUCAGGGACGAUGAUGACGGUACCUGAGGAAUAAGCCACGGCUAACUACGUGCCAGCAGCCGCCGUAAGAC